rnacentral:rRNA from 1 species
GACGAACGCUGGCGGCGUGCCUAAUACAUGCAAGUCGAACGCAGUGGGGACGGGUGAGUAACACGUGGGUAACCUCCCAUCAGAGGGGAUAACACUUGGAAACAGGUGCUAAACCGAUACUGAUGGAUGACCCCGCGGUGCAUUAGCUAGUUGGUGAGGUAACGGCGCACCAAGGCCACGAUUCAUAGCCGACCGUAGGAGGGGAUCGGCCACACUGGUACGGAGCCAGUGCCCAGCUUCCUACGGGAGGCAGAAGUAGGGAAUCUUCGGCAAUGGACGAAAGUCUGACCGAGCAACGCCGCGUGAGUGAAGAAGGUUUUCGGAUCGUAAAACUCUGUUGUUAGAGAAGCGGUAUCUAACCAGAAAGCCACGGCUAACUACGUGCCAGCAGCCGCGGUAAUAC